GAUCAUGGCUCAGGAUGAACGCUAGCUACAGGCUUAACACAUGCAAGUCGAGGGGCAGCAUUUUAGUUUGCUUGCAAACUAAAGAUGGCGACCGGCGCACGGGUGAGUAACACGUAUCCAACCUGCCGAUAACUCGGGGAUAGCCUUUCGAAAGAAAGAUUAAUAUCCGAUAGUAUAUUUUCUCCGCAUGGCGAGAAUAUUAAAGAAUUUCGGUUAUCGAUGGGGAUGCGUUCCAUUAGUUUGUUGGG
rnacentral:rRNA from 1 species